GACGAACGCUGGCGGCGUGCUUAACGCAUGCAAGUCGAACGGAAAGGACCUGCUUGCAGCGUACUCGAGAGUCGAACGGGUGAGUAACACGUGGGAGAUAUGCCCCGCACUUCGGGGUAAGCCCGGGAAACUGCGUCUAAUACCGGAUAGGAGCCAUUCUUAGUGUGAUGGUUGGUAAGAAUUUUCGUUGUAGGAUGAGCUCGCGGCCUAUUAGCUUGUUGGUGGGGUAAUGGCCUACCAAGGGGGCGACGGGUAGCCGGCCUGAGAGGGUGGACCGGCACAUUGGGGAUGGGGAACGGGCCAGACUCCUACGGGGGGGAACAGUGGGGAAUAAUUGAACAUGGGGGGAAGCCUGAUGCAGCGGCGCCGGGGUGGGGAAGGCGGGCCUCGGGGUGGUAACUCUUUUCGAGAGGGGAGAAGCUUUUUGUGACGGUACCUAGAUAAGAAGCACCGGCUAACUACGUG
rnacentral:rRNA from 1 species